GAUGAACGCUGGCGGCGUGCCUAAUACAUGCAAGUCGAGCGGACGGACGAUAAUCGUGCUGCUCUCGUGUUGGGGACGGACGGGUGAGUAACAGGUGGAUAGCCUUCCUAUAAGACUUAGAUAAGUGCGAGAAACCGUAGUUAAGGCCGGAUAAUAUUUUGAACGUCAUGGUUGAAAAGUGAAAUACGGUCUUGCUGUCACUUAUGGAUGGAUCCUCGCUGGAUUAGUUAGGUGGUAAGAUAACGGCUUACGAAGGCAGCGAUGCAUGGCCGAACUGAGAGGGUGAUGGGGGACUGUGGAGCUGAGCCACGGUACAGACUCCUACGGGAGGCAGCAGUAGGGACUCUUCGGAGAUGGGCGAAAGACUGAAGGAGCAACGCCGCGCGAGUGCUGAAGGUCUUCGGAUCGUAAAACUGUGUUAUUAUGGAAGAACAUAUGUGCAAGGAACUGUGCACAUCUUGACGGUACCUAGUCAGAAAGCAACGGCUAACUACGUG
rnacentral:rRNA from 1 species